rnacentral:rRNA from 1 species
GACGAACGCUGGCGGCGUGCUUUACACAUGCAAGUCGAACGAAGUGGCGAACGGGUGAGUAACGCGUAAUCAACCUGCCCUUCAGCGGGGGACAACAGUGGGAAACGACUGCUAAUACCGCAUACGGAAGGAGGGGCAUGCGUCUGUUUAGCUAGUUGGAGGGGUAACGGCCCACCAAGGCGAUGAUCAGUAGCCGGUCUGAGUGGAUGAACGGCCACAUUGGGACUGAGGCACGGCCCAGAUUCCUACGGGAGGCAGCAGUGGGGAAUCUUCCGAAAUGGACGAAAGUCUGACGGAGCAACGCCGCGUGAGUGAUGACGGCCUUCGGGUUGUAAAGCUCUGUUAAUCGGGACGCGGUACCGGAAUAGAAAGCCACGGCUAACUACGUGCCAGCAGCCGCGGUAAUAC